CGGGAUUGGAAAUAGCAAUAUUACCAUGAGAGUGGCGCACGGGUGCGUAACACGUAUGCAAUCUGCCCCUAACUGGAAGAUAGCCCGGCGAAAGUCGGAUUAAUAUUCCAUAACAUUGCGAAACGGCAUCGUUUUGUAAUUAAAGCUCCGGCGGUUAGGGAUGAGCAUGCGCGACAUUAGCUAGAUGGCGAGGUAACGGCUCACCAUGGCUACGAUGUCUAGGGGGUCUGAGAGGAUUAUCCCCCACACUGGUACUGAGACACGGACCAGACUCCUACGGGAGGCAGCAGUAGGGAAUAUUGGGCAAUGGACGCAAGUCUGACCCAGCCAUGCCGCGUGCAGGAUGACGGCCCUAUGGGUUGUAAACUGCUUUUGUACAGGAAGAAAUCCCUUUACGUGUAGAGGGCUGACAUUACUGUAAGAAUAAGGAUCGGCUAACUCCGUGCCAGCAGCCGCGGUAAUACGGAGGAUCCAAGCGUUGUCCGGAUUUAUUGGGUUUAAAGGGUGCGUAGGCGGACCAUUAAGUCAGAGGUGAAAGUUUGCAGCUUAACUGUAAAAUUGCCUUUGAAACUGGUGGUCUUGAGUACAGUUGAGGUGGGCGGAAUGUGUCAUGUAGCGGUGAAAUGCUUAGAUAUGAUACAGAACACCGAUUGCGAAGGCAGCUCACUAAACUGUAACUGACGCUGAGGCACGAAAGCGUGGGGAGCGAACAGGAUUAGAUACCCUGGUAGUCCACGCCCUAAACGUUGAAUACUCGUUGUUGGCGAUAUACAGUCAGCGACUAAGCGAAAGCAUUAAGUAUUCCACCUGGGGAGUACGACCGCAAGGUUGAAACUCAAAGGAAUUGACGGGGGCCCGCACAAGCGGAGGAGUAUGUGGUUUAAUUCGAUGAUACGCGAGGAACCUUACCUGGGCUUGAAAGUUAGCGA
rnacentral:rRNA from 1 species